AGUGAACGCUGGCGGCAGGCCUAACACAUGCAAGUCGAACGGUAACAGGAAACAGCUUGCUGUUUCGCUGACGAGUGGCGGACGGGUGAGUAAUGUCUGGGAAACUGCCUGAUGGAGGGGGAUAACUACUGGAAACGGUAGCUAAUACCGCAUAACGUCGCAAGACCAAAGAGGGGGACCUUCGGGCCUCUUGCCAUCGGAUGUGCCCAGAUGGGAUUAGCUAGUAGGUGGGGUAACGGCUCACCUAGGCGACGAUCCCUAGCUGGUCUGGGAGGAUGACCAGCCAAACUGGAACUGAGACACGGUCCAGACUCCUCCGGGAGGCGGCAGUGGGGAAUAUUGCACAAUGGGCGCAAGCCUGAUGCAGCCAUGCCGCGUGUAUGAAGAAGGCCUUCGGGUUGUAAAGUACUUUCAGCGGGGAGGAAGGGAGUAAAGUUAAUACCUUUGCUCAUUGACGUUACCCGCAGAAGAAGCACCGGCUAACUCCGUGCCAGCAGCCGCCGUAA
rnacentral:rRNA from 1 species